GACGAACGCUGGCGGCGUGCUUAACACGUGCAAGUCGAACGAAGUGGCGGACGGGUGAGUAACGCGUAAUCAACCUGCCCUUCAGAGGGGGACAACAGUUGGAAACGAAUGCUAAUACCGCAUACUGACGGCGGGGAUUGCGUCUGAUUAGCUAGUUGGAGGGGUAACGGCCCACCAAGGCGAUGAUCAGUCGCCGGUCUUGGAUGGUGAACGGCCACAUUGGGACGUGGACACGGCCCAUACCCCUACGGGAGGCAGCAGUGGGGAAUCUUCCGCCAUGGACGAAAGUCUGACGGAGCAACGCCGGGUGAGUUAUGACGGCCUUCGGGUUGUAAAGCUCUGUUAAUCGGGACGCGGUACCGGAAUAGAAAGCAACGGCUAACUACGUGCCAGCCGCCGCGGUAAUAC
rnacentral:rRNA from 1 species